GGCCCAGUAGCGCAUGGUGUGCGCCUGCUCUCAAUAUAUCCUCUCUGCAAGCCUGUCAGCAGGAGGUGCUCGUUCGAAUCGAGCCUGGGUUC